rnacentral:lncRNA from 1 species
UAAUUUCGGGACUUGGUACCCUAUUUAAGCAUCUUAUUCUCUUUCCUAGGGCUCAGUUGCGGCCCUAUAGUCCAGAACCAGAAACCCUAAGCCUCCAUUGUUGCUCAUUCAAGUUUUCUUGCCAUUUUGGGUGGUUUGAAGGAAGAAGGAAGAAGGCUCACAUUGGGGAUUCAAGAAUUGGCAGUAGAUCCAGAGUUUGUGAGGUCUUCCAGAGCAUUUGAAGGUAAUGAGUCGUGACCUUCCCUCUUUUGCAUUUAGAUCAACCUUUAUCAUAGGAUUUGGGGCUUUUAGGGCAAGUUCUUGAACCAUUUCGAGUUAGAAGCCCAGAUCUGAAGUUGCUACUUCAGAUCUAUGUGUAUCUUGGCCUAGAGAAUCAUAAAGCAUCAGUCUAUGGGUUGAUUGUUGAGCCCCUUUGUCUCAAACCCUAAGUUUAUGGUGUAUGGUGCCUAGAUCUCCUUCUCUACACGUAAAGUUUGCAACUUUACGUGGGGAAUAGGCUUGGGAAGGGUAGAUCUACAGUUUGGAGUUCAUGCAUGACUCGGAAGUCCUCUGCAUGUAAGUGGAUCUUAAUGGACUCGGCGAGUCCUUCGAGUGGACUCGGCGAGUAGCUUGAAGAUGAGGAGGAACUCGACGAGUGGGAUGAACAGCUCGUCGAGUCGGAUGAAGUUAAGCAUGAACUCGGCGAGUUGGAAGAACAACUCGACGAGUUGGUUGAAGAUUGCCUUGGACUCGGCGAGUCUAUUAGUGGACUCGGCGAGUCAGGUCGCGAAACCUCAAACCCUUCGAGUUGAGACUCGAAUCAGUGAGUCGGGUGGUGACUCAGCGAGUUGGACAGGACAGGACUUGGAACUAGUUGGACUCGGCGAGUCAUAGAAUGACUCGGCGAGUCGAGUCGCGAAUAGAAAGACCCUGAGCUUAUGAACUCGGCGAGUCAUUAGGAGGACUCGGCGAGUAGGGUUGACCUGGAAGGUUGACUUUGACCAGAGUUGACUUAGUUGACUGUCAGACUAAGUGUUUUAUGGAUAUUGAUAGCUCGGAGAGCUAGAGGAGCAGUGGUUCAGGAGAUUGUCGAGUAGCAGCCAGAGGUUUAUCAGCAGAGCUCAG